rnacentral:rRNA from 1 species
AGAAUCAACGCUGGCGGCGUGCCUAACACAUGCAAGUCGAACGAGAAAGUGGAGCAAUCCAUGAGUAAAGUGGCGCACGGGUGAGUAACACGUGACUAACCUACCUUUUAGUGGGGGAUAACCUAGGGAACCUGGGCUAAUACCGCAUAACACCUACGGGUCAAAGGAGCAAUUCGCUUCAGGAGGGGUCGCGGCAGAUUAGCUAGUUGGCGGGGUAAUGGCCCACAAGGCAGUGAUCUGUA